UAGGGAAUCUUCCACAAUGGACGAAAGUCUGAUGGAGCAACGCCGCGUGAGUGAUGAAGGGUUUCGGCUCGUAAAACUCUGUUGUUGGAGAAGAACAGGUGUGAGAGUAACUGUUCACAUCUUGACGGUAUCCAACCAGAAAGCCACGGCUAACUACGUGCCAGCAGCCGCGGUAAUACGUAGGUGGCAAGCGUUGUCCGGAUUUAUUGGGCGUAAAGCGAGCGCAGGCGGUUUCUUAGGUCUGAUGUGAAAGCCUUCGGCUUAACCGGAGAAGUGCAUCGGAAACCAGGAGACUUGAGUGCAGAAGAGGACAGUGGAACUCCAUGUGUAGCGGUGAAAUGCGUAGAUAUAUGGAAGAACACCAGUGGCGAAGGCGGCUGUCUGGUCUGUAACUGACGCUGAGGCUCGAAAGCAUGGGUAGCGAACAGGAUUAGAUACCCUGGUAGUCCAUGCCGUAAACGAUGAGUGCUAAGUGUUGGAGGUUUCCGCC
rnacentral:rRNA from 1 species